rnacentral:rRNA from 1 species
AAACCGUUCAGGGGUAAACCUAAGAAACCCAAAAGAUCGAACGGGGAGAUUCAUCGUCAGCGACGCUGGCUUCGCGUCGGUGGGCGAUGUCCCGCGGAGCCUCGCGGCUCGCGCGCGGACACGCUGCCGUGCGUCGAUGUCCGGCGUUCGUCGUCGUGCACUUCUCCCCUAGUAGAACGUCGCGACCCGCUGGGUGUCGGUCUACGGCCCGGGUGCGGUGACUGACGCGUCGCCGGUAAAACGGCACGCGUCAAACCCUCGGUCGCCCGGCCGGCUGCCCGGCGGUACACGCAAGGUAUCAGGCCGCACCUUACUCUACGAGUGCGUCGAGGCCGUCGCAAGCGCGCGCCACGGUACACGGAGGCUAACGGACCUAGUGCCGUCCCCGGUCCUGGCCCGCUGUUGGUCGUACGGUUAACCUUCGACAGGCCUACGAACGUCCCCCGGUUAAUCCGGGGGACCGAUACCGGUCGGCGACGCUACUGCUUUGGGUACUCUUAGGA